GAAGUGAUAAAAAAAUUUUCCCUAAUAAUAUAAAUGCAAAUUCAACCUUUUUUUUAUUCAAGAAAUUUUUUGAGGAAAAAUAAAAAAAAGGUUUAGAAGAGGUUAAGAAGAAGAAGUAAGAAGAGUGAUUCAAACGCGUAAGACUCUGUUUGUUUGUUCUUAUAUUCUUCACAAAUCUCCUUUCAGAUCUCCUUCAUUCUUAACGAUCUAAACGCCACAACCAAACGAUUCACACUAAUUUUUUUACUGCACCGACAAUGUUUUUUGUUCCCCUUCACCGAUCCGACACUUCUCCUUUACAGGUUCAAUUAGUGCAUCAUGUGCUAUGCUUAUGAGACUUAUUGCUGUAUGAUGAUAGUCAAUGAGCUUUUCAUGUACAAUGCAAGAAUGGACGAGAAAACUCUGGCUUGAAGAGUAACCUUGCUUAGAAUUUGUAAUCUCUGCAAGCAUGGUGCUUAACAAAGUCACUGAAAUUGUGUCUGCUGCAGUGGCUCGUUUCUCGACCCCAACGACGUCUAACAAUCCAUAUCCAUCAUCGGGGUUACCACCUCUUCCAGGUUCACUUAAUGUUUCUAGCUUAGAUCAGAAGAACAAGUUGAGACUUUCCUCAUCCCUUCAAGAUCUUUCUGCAUACCGGCGGCUUGAUCUGGAAGAUGGUGGUCCCAACUCUGAUAUAGAGAGGGAUUCAGCUAAUUUAAAACGGCUAAAUCUUUUCAAGAGAGAAAAUUUGGGUACAAGCUUCUCCAAGGUGAAAGGGACACCAAUAGUCACUUCUGCACGAACGAAAUGGACACGGGUUAUCUUAGUUCUCCUGUGCUUGCUAUUGGUUGCAUUUCUCCUAUAUGUGGUGUUUUUCCAUUUUAACUUAUUCCACGGAGAGUCAAAGUAUUAUGUUGUGCUUGAUUGUGGGAGCACCGGGACUCGUGUUUAUGUAUAUCAAGCAUCCCCUAACUAUAAAAAAGAUAAUGAUCUCCCUAUUGUAUUGAAAUCACUGCCAGAGAGUUUCCAAAGAAACUCAAGAUUACAGAGUGGACGGGCUUACAACAGAAUGGAGACAGAACCGGGAUUUGACAAGUUGGUGCACAACACGUCUGGCUUGAAAAGAGCAAUUAAGCCACUAAUUAAAUGGGCAGCGAAGCAAAUCCCUAGACAUGCACAUAAAACUACUUAUCUCCAUCUUUAUGCUACGGCUGGGGUUCGCAGGCUGCCAAAUUCAGACUCAGAAUGGCUUCUUAACAAUGCUUGGUCCAUUCUGAAAAGUUCCCCUUUUUUGUGCAAGAGGGAAUGGGUCAAAACUAUCACUGGCAUGGAGGAAGCCUAUUUUGGAUGGAUAGCUAUGAAUUAUCAUACUGGUAUAUUGGGGGCAACUCCUAAAAAGGGAACAUUUGGUGCACUUGACUUAGGUGGCUCAUCACUGCAGGUUACUUUUGAGAGCAAGGAACAUGUCCCUGAUGAAACUAGCUUAGAGCUGAAUAUUGGUGCCGUUAAUCAUCAUCUCACUGCUUAUUCCUUAGAAGGAUAUGGCCUGAAUGAUGCUUUUGACAAGUCUGUUGUUCAUCUUAUCAAGAGGCUUCCCAAGAUCAGUGAUGCAUAUCUCUCCAGUGGAAAUAUUGAGAUCAAGCAUCCGUGUCUGAAUUCUGGUUACAAGGAGCAAUAUAUCUGUACUCACUGUGUUUCCCUAUACCAAGAAGGUGGCAAUCCUUCCACUAGGAAAGAAGUUUUUGGUAGAGGGGGAAAGCCUGGAGUUCGCGUUCAGCUUGUUGGAGCUCCAAAAUGGGAAGAAUGCAAUUCACUUGCAAAAUCUGCUGUUAAUUUGUCUGAAUGGUCUAACAAAAGUUCAGGAAUUGAUUGUGAGUUGCAGCCCUGUGCUCUUGCAGAAAAUCUUCCUCGUCCCUUUGGCCAGUUCUAUGCUAUGUCUGGUUUCUUUGUGGUAUAUCGUUUUUUCAACUUGACCCCUGAUGCUGCACUGGAUGAUGUAUUAGAAAAGGGUCAUGAAUUUUGUGAUAAGGCUUGGGAUGUUGCAAAGACUAGUGUUGCACCUCAGCCUUUCAUAGAACAGUAUUGCUUCAGGGCACCAUACGUUGUCUCUUUGCUGAGAGAAGGCUUGCAUAUCACUGAUAGUCAGGUAACCAUUGCUUCGGGGAGUAUUACUUGGACACUAGGUGUUGCGCUGUCGGAAGCUGGAAAGGCAGUUUCAACUGGGGUGCAACUUAUUAGUUACAAGCUAUUGCUCAUGAAGAUGCACCCAGUUGUUCUUCUUGCUAUUUUGUUUGCUUCAUUAGCUGUUCUUCUUUGUGCAUUAUCAUAUGUUGGCACGUGGAUGCCCAGGUUCUUCCGUAGGGCAUAUCUUCCCCUUUUCAGGAAUAAUAGCGCUUCAUCCACAUCUAUAAUCAACAUUCCAGCACCUUUCAAUUUCAAACGGUGGAGUCCUGUUAUUACAGGCGAAGGAAGAGUGAAGACGCCACUCAGUCCAACAGUUGCAAAUACUCAACAGAGACCAUUUGACACUCAUGGUUUUGGUGGCAAUGGUAUCCAGCUUUCUGAAUCUUCCUUAUACUCAUCAUCCAGUAGUGUAGCACACAGUUUCUCAUCAGGUAGCUUGGGGCAGAUGCAAUAUGAAAGUAGUACCACGGGUUCCUUCUGGUCACCACACAGAAGCCAACAGCGUCUCCAGAGCAGGAGAUCCCAAUCACGAGAAGAUCUUAUUUCUUCACUGUCUACUGAAAUGCCCUUGCCAAAGGUGUAAAUCUGAUGGUAAUAUUUCUUUCAGAAGAGAAAUCAUGGGGCUGAUGAUUUCUAAUGGCUCACUUGGUGAUUGGCAAAUUACCAUCGGCUAUGAAUCACAUAACAUGCGCCUUUCCUGCAUUCUCCUUUAGAGACAUCAUCAUAAUGAGACGCAAGGAAAGCUUAUUCAUCCGAUAUUACCUAACAUAGAUUCACAACACGGAUAUUAUCAGUCAAGAGAAGUCUGACAUCGUUAAUCAAGGCAGCUGUGCAGAACAACAGAGAACUUUUUAUCAUGUGAAACUUGAGAGAGAUUUGCCUCCUGUGAAUGCUAGGGGUUACCAAUGCAAUUCCAAUUUGAUUGUCCAAAAUUUCACAUGGUCUGAUGGGAGUGGUGCAAUUGCAUUCUGCAGAAGCCAUGAGUGGCAGAGGUUCUCUAAUAGGGUCCUUGAUGUGAAUGAGGUUGCCGGCUUGUAAAUGGUCAAAUUGGUACUCUGCUUGAUUAGGCUAGCUCGAGAUUUUGAAUCCAGCAUUUUCAGAACCUACAAGUCUAAAUGUUUGGUAGAAUACACAGGUAAGAGCAUUGAAAAGGUCACUGAGCUGGCUUGGUUUAGAAAAGGAAAUUUCAUGAACAAAUUGUAAAUGGUUUGUAAAAAUAUGCAAGUUAUUGUCAUCCACCUUACUUGACCAUGUAAGGUGUUGCAAAGCAACUGCUCUCAUUUUAUUGUAACUCUUCAAGAUAUCAAAAGUGAUCACUCAACCACAUAAUUGUGCGAGUUAACUCACUAAUUAACAUAUAUGAUGUGUUGCGAA